GAUGAACGCUAGCGGCAGGCUUAAUACAUGCAAGUCGAGGGGCAGCACGUUUCGCAGCAAUGCGGGAUGGUGGCGACCGGCAAACGGGUGAGGAUCGCGCACACAAUCUUCCCAGAGCAGGGGGAUAACCCGGGGAAACCCGGACUAAUACCCCGUAGUUUACUUUGAAGGCAUCUUUGAGGUAAUAAAACUCCGGUGGCUUUGGAUGAGUGUGCGUCCCAUUAGGUAGUUGGCAGGGUAACGGCCUACCAAGCCUUCGAUGGGUAACUGGUGUGAGAGCACGACCAGUCACACGGGCACUGAGACACGGGCCCGACUCCUACGGGAGGCAGCAGUAAGGAAUAUUGGUCAAUGGACGCAAGUCUGAACCAGCCAUGCCGCGUGAAGGAUGAAGGUCCUCUGGAUUGUAAACUUCUUUUAUAGGGGGCGAAAAAAGGGUUUUUUAACUCACUUGACGGUACCUUAUGAAUAAGCACCGGCUAACUCCGUG
rnacentral:rRNA from 1 species